rnacentral:rRNA from 1 species
AUUGAACGCUGGCGGCAGGCCUAACACAUGCAAGUCGAGCGGAUGAAGGGAGAUUGCUCCUGGAUUCAGCGGCGGACGGGUGAGUAAUGCCUAGGAAUCUGCCCGGUAGAGGGGGAUAACGUCCGGAAACGGGCGCUAAUACCGCAUACGUCCUGAGGGAGAAAGUGGGGGAUCUUCGGACCUCACGCUAUCAGAUGAGCCUAGGUCGGAUUAGCUAGUUGGUGAGGUAAAGGCCUACCAAGGCGACGAUCCGUAACUGAUCUGAGAGGAUGAUCAGUCACACUGGAACUGAGACACGGUCCAGACUCCUACGGGAGGCAGCAGUGGGGAAUAUUGGGCAAUGGGCGAAAGCCUGAUGCAGCCAUGCCGCGUGUGUGAUGAAGGUCUUCGGAUUGUAAAACUCUGUUAGUUGGGAAGAAGAGCAGUAUAUUAAUACCUUGCUGUUUUGACGGUACCAAAAGAGUAAGCACCGGCUAACUACGUG